UGCCGCGUGUGUGAAAAGGCCUUCGGGUUGUAAAGCACUUUUGUCCGGAAAGAAAGCUUCUGGGUUAAUACCCCGGGAGGAUGACGGUACCGGAAGAAUAAGCACCGGCUAACUACGUGCCAGCAGCCGCGGUAAUACGUAGGGUGCGAGCGUUAAUCGGAAUUACUGGGCGUAAAGCGUGCGCAGGCGGUGCUGUAAGACCGAUGUGAAAUCCCCGGGCUUAACCUGGGAACUGCAUUGGUGACUGCAGCGCUGGAGUAUGGCAGAGGGGGGUGGAAUUCCACGUGUAGCAGUGAAAUGCGUAGAGAUGUGGAGGAACACCGAUGGCGAAGGCAGCCCCCUGGGCCAAUACUGACGCUCAUGCACGAAAGCGUGGGGAGCAAACA
rnacentral:rRNA from 2 species